rnacentral:sRNA from 1 species
AGUGACUGCGGAGGAUCAUUAUCGAACCGUCGACACGAGUUGUUGCUGGUCCCUCAAAAGNNNACACGUGCACGCUCUGUUUGCACAUCCACUCACACCUGUGCACCCUCUGUAGUUCUGUGGCCUCAAGGGUUCUGCCCUCACGCCGUGGUCCUACGUCUUUACACACACGCCGUANCGAAGUCUCAUGGAAUGUAUGUCGCGUUUAACGCAUUACAAUACAACUUUCAGCAACGGAUCUCUUGGCUCUCGCAUCGAUGAAGAACGCAGCGAAAUGCGAUAAGUAAUGUGAAUUGCAGAAUUCAGUGAAUCAUCGAAUCUUUGAACGCACCUUGCGCCCUUUGGCCAUUCCGAAGGGCAUGCCUGUUUGAGUAUCGUGAACACCUCAACUCUCAUGGCCUGCCAUGAUGAGCUUGGACUUUGGGGGUCUUGCNGGCGCACCGUCGGCUCCUCUCAAACGAAUCAGCUUGCCAGUGUUUGGUGGCAUCACGGGUGUGAUAACUAUCUACGCUCAUGGUCGUCUGCCGAGCAACCUCCAGCGAUGGAGGUUCGCUGGAGCUUACAAAUGUCUCUCCUCAGCGAGGACAGCUUUAUGAACGUUUGAUCUCAAAUCAGGUANGACUACCCGCUGAACUUAAGCAUAUCAAUAAGCGGAGGAA